rnacentral:rRNA from 1 species
AACGCGAAGAACCUUACCUACCCUUGACAUCCCGAGAAUCCUACAGAGAUGUGGGAGUGCCGCAAGGAACUCGGAGACAGGUGCUGCAUGGCUGUCGUCAGCUCGUGUUGUGAGAUGUUGGGUUAAGUCCCGUAACGAGCGCAACCCUUAUCUUUAGUUGCCAACAUGUAAUGGUGGGGACUCUAAAGAGACUGCUGGUGAUGAACCGGAGGAAGGCGGGGACGACGUCAAGUCAUCAUGGCCUUUAUGGGUAGGGCUACACACGUGCUACAAUGGGGCGUACAGAGGGUUGCCAACCUGCGAAGGGGAGCCAAUCUCAGAAAACGCCUCGUAGUCCGGAUCGGAGUCUGCAACUCGACUCCGUGAAGUCGGAAUCGCUAGUAAUCGCGAAUCAGAACGUCGCGGUGAAUACGUUCCCGGGCCUUGUACACACCGUAGAGAC